GGUCGCGUAGCUCAGUGGUAGAGCACUACCUUGACAUGGUAGGGGUCGCUGGUUCAAGUCCAGUCGUGACCACCA
rnacentral:tRNA from 1 species